UACGAGAGUGGCAGACGGGUGAGUACACGUGGGAACCUUCCCUUUGGUUCGGAAUAGCCCAGGGAAACUUGGGGUAAUACCGGAUAAGCCCUUACGGGGAAAGAUUUAUCGCCGAAGGAUGGGCCCGCGUCGGAUUAGCUAGUUGGUGGGGUAACGGCCUACCAAGGCGACGAUCCGUAGCUGGUCUGAGAGGAUGAUCAGCCACACUGGGACUGAGACACGGCCCAGACUCCUACGGGAGGCAGCAGUAGGGAAUAUUGGACAAUGGGCGCAAGCCUGAUCCAGCCAUGCCGCGUGAGUGACGAAGGCCUUCGGGUUGUAAAGCUCUUUAGGCGGGGACGAUAAUGACGGUACCCGCAGAAUAAGCUCCGGCUAACUUCGUGCCAG
rnacentral:rRNA from 1 species